CUGUAUUGUAGGAAUUAUGUGAUCUAUAAACAUUACAGCAAAAACUCUCAGACUAACCUUUAACCCAUGCUAACACUGAAUUAUUUUGAUUUUAUGAGUGACUAUAUGCAAAUGAGUUGGACCUUGUGAUUGAUAAUUCAGUGCUUGACAUUCCUGACAGUAAUGACAAGUCCCUUAUGAUGAAGGUACACAUCAAAAUAUGAGUGUGGCUAAAACAUCAGAGUUGUUUUAAAUAGCAAGCUUUCCCUUUGGUGUAAGGUACCAGGCAACAAAAGUGUAUUUAAACCAACUAUUUUAAGUUAUUUUUAAGUACAAAGCAAAUUUUCCCUUUACAGUCUGGUGCUUAACAAUUAUUAAAGUAAUAAAUAAAUGGGAAUGAAGAAAAUAUCAUCCUUAUUUGCAGAAGAGCCAAAUGAUGUAACAAGUUACUUUUUAUUUCAUUAUGACCUAAUUAGGACAUUAAGGCCAGGGUUUCCAAAGAUUCAUUGGUAUGACCUUCCUGAAAACUUCUGCUACAAGCACAUGGAUAUUUAAAAUAUUUCUUUCCCAAAAGUAUACUGUAAUUUCUUGGACCUCAAUUUAAAAAUACUGUGGUGCAUCUCUGGGGACUUUGUAUAGAAAUGAAGGAGCUGCUCUUGUUGAGAAGAAAAGAGAACAGCGAAGAAAAAGGUGUCAGAAGUUUACAAAAGCAGGAAGAGAGAAAUUAAAACAAAUCCUGUGUAAGCUGGUUUGAGUUCAGCAUUUCGCAACCGAUGUGGUUAAAAGUUCCCCGAUGAUUUUGACUAUGCCUUGGGCGUGUCGUGUAAUGGACCCACACAUACACAUGGUUAAUUAACUGCCAGUGAAGUACAGAACUUAUUUUCUCCAAAUAUACAAUAUAGUUUUAUCCUGCCGUGCUGUGCCACACUUAAAAUACUCUUUGAGGAAUUUACUCAAUCUUUAUUUAGAUGUGUUAAUCCUGGUAAAAAUGCAAAAAUAUUUUUGGUAGCUAAGCUUAAUGAGGUAAUAAUUACUCAUUCUUGUUUAACUUCUGCUAGAUUUAGUAUCUAAAUUUGGGGCACGAAUAUAAAAUCUUUCCUGUGCCCACAUUUCCAGUUUUAAAGUACUUAGAAGAAUCCAGACUUACUCCAGCAAUUUUCUGAACUAUAAAUCCAGAAUGAAUAUUCUGUUUCCACUUUCAAGUGUUAAAAAAUAAUUUCUUUUUUUCUUUCUAAGGUCUUUAUCUUAUUUAUUUCUAACAGAAUACUCAUUUAAUCACAUGGCAUUUGUGAUGACUUCUUAGUAGUGUGUACUGUUGCAGAGGUUCUAAGUUUGCAGAGCAGAGGCUUACUCUUAGUCUGGUUCUCUUACAAUUUUCUCAUAUUAAAUAUGAGAAAAAAGCUCUUUCUGAACUGAAAUCAUAGGCAUUAUUUAUAGCUUAAUUUAGAUCCAUGUAAUGUAGAAAGCAAGCAAAUUUGUUUCCAGUUUUUCACAUUGAUAAUUUUCAGUCUGUUUUCUAUUUUUCAUAAUCUUUUUAAUGUGUUGUCUUCUAUUAACCGAGCUGUAUUAUUGCCAUUCACAACAUCAAGCCACAUGAGAGUGAGAAAGGAAAGGAAAAGUAAGAAUAAACAACUUAUAGUCUUAAUAAUUCUUAAUCAGCUACUGCUUUUGAUACUUUAAACAUGGUGAUAAUUAAUGUGGAAAGCUCUGGAAGCCUUGGUAAGCUCGCUUGAUCAUCUGAAGAAUGCCGGGACUUAUUAGGGAAAGUUCAUGAUUCAUACUCAAGGAUUAAGCCAAGAGAAUCUUGUGACCUAAGCAGCCUGGCUCUCCAGUGGUAAAAAUGGGAUUUUCUUAUCUUACACAAAAUAAUAAUUGAGACAGAGAGCAGGGAUGGAAGCAGACAGUAUACAUUGAUUUAAGAGUGAGCAAUACUUGGUGUGCAGAGAAAUUGCCUUUUUGGCGAAUUGUUGGUAUCAUGAUGGAAAUAAUAAAGUUAAACUAUAGUACAUGAAGUGUUCCAUAGGGAUGAAUCAGAGCAUUCUUGAGGCACAGUAAAGAUGAGAAUUGUAACAUGAAAUGGGAGGGUCUUUUAUGUUCAAUGGCUGAGUUAUCCUUAAAAAAUGUUUAGUCAUUUGCCUGAUGUUGGGAAAUCGCUCUUCCCAAUCACUUAAACCCAAACACACGAACAUGUAUCACAGCACAGUGACACAGUCAGCACUCAAAGCUCCUGGGUGCAAGAUUUGGGUGAUGACAUGAAAUUUAAACUUAUUUCUAAUAGUAAACAUUGACUUGACAGAGUCAGUCAGCUUCAAUUUCCGCUACUGAGUUAAUAAUUUGACUUUUGAUUUGUAUGUUUGGAAUCCUGAAAAAAAGACCUUUGAAAUAUGAGCAGUGAAGGAUGUGCUGGGUAAGGGAGCAUUGCAAACCAUCUCCAUGAGACAGCCACAUAAACAAAUGCUAAUCCCUUUGCUGAACUCAUUGACAUAAACCAUCUUGGUCAUAUUUAGAUGCCUUGCCACCUCUGUCCUUCUCUCUUCUUCCUUUUUUUCAGUGCUCUAUCUUACUGGAAGGGAAAAUGAAAAUACAAAAGCCAACCAUCAUUGCUGUUUAAUUGGAAUCUGAUUCCCAAGACUGUGGUGUAUGGAAUCUGUGAGUUCCACCAGUGCCCUUAAACUCCACAAACCGAGUGAGGUUCCAGAGCACCCUGCAGCAAACCUGGAUCAGAGAACAGCUAUUUGCUGAAUCUUUCCUAAAUAGUACUGGGGUGGCAGGUAUGUGAAAGGUGACAAGAAUUCGAGGCCAAAGUUUGAAAUGUUCGUGCAUUGAGAAGGAAAUAAUUUUCAUGAUAAUUAUGCAAAUAUAUGGAUAAUUAGGAAUCCUUUGGACACUAAGUACAUCUUGCAAUAUUCAAUACAAGGUCCUGUACUAUGAAAUUUUGCAAAUUCUGUUGUACAUUGAGAUGUGAUGUAACAGGGCAUUAUGCAAAUCCCUACUGGUAUCUUGCUAUUGUUUUAUGUCUUUUCCAUUAAUGUGAAAGAACACAAAAAACAAAAGGAAAAGCUGGCUGUAGAAGAAGAAUUAUGCAUUUGACUGCAUAUAAAGUAAUUCAUGAAAACAAUUUUGUAUGUAUUUAUACCUUUACAGAUAAAACAGUUUUGCUUUUUCCUUCAUUCAUGCAUUUAAUUUAAUGAUUUUGAAAGAUGCAGAUGGAAUAGUAACAGUUAUAUAAUUUUCAUUUUGCCAACAGGUUUCUUGCAGGAGUGCUCUGACAAACACGGAGUCAUUUCAGUCAAUGAGUUGUUGUUCUCCCCCUCACCACAUUUCUGUGGUCACUGUCACCAGUGGAAAUCACAAGCUGGUUAUCAUUACUUGAACUGGCCUACACCAAUUCCCUUGAUCCACUGAUGUUCAUUGGUAUCCUGCUUUCUUCAUGCCCCAGUCAAGGUAGAAUGGGAAAAUACAGUUUUCUGCUCUCUGUGAAAAGAGCACAUGUUCAGAAAGAACCUGACUUUUGCUCUGGCCUGGAUGUAUAUAAGUAGUUUUGUGUGCAAGAAUCAGCUGUUGAAGCCUACAAGUUAUGCAGGUCCAGUGAGUUCAGUGGAGAUCCUUCUGACUGACAGCAGCAUCCAGGCACCUACUGACAGAGGUGUGUGCAGUUUGUGGGAUUUGAAACAGGCCUUUGAUUACAAAAGAAAGCUUUAAUACAAACAGCAGCAGCAUCAAAGCAAAAAUCUGGAUUUUGCUGACCUUAAUAGCCAUUUUAACAGUAGCAAUCCAUAACAAAUGGAAAUGCCCCUUCAGUGCAAUUACUGCAUUCACUUAUUUUUCUUGGCACAUGUGGGCCAAUCCUGAAACAUCCCGAAUGGAUUUUUCUCAACCUUUCCUAAAGCCCUUUAUAUGGGCCUUGUUGUAGAUGACAGAACACAUUUUGUCCUUUUUGGGUGUGUGUUUUGUUUUAAUUCUUAUCCUGACCUACAAACAAAACAAAAGUUUUACUUAUAAAAAUCAGUGUUUAGAGACUAUUUUAUAUCGGUUCCUAUAGAAAGGCCAUGAUUUCAGUAAAAGGAUUUGGUCUGUCUGACUGAAGCUUAGAUACUUUAAACAGCAAAAAUGCAUCAAUACUACUUUACACUGGUGAAUUGUAGUCUCCUUCAUUAACAGCUAAAUUAAAAUAUUACAGCAGUAUUAACUGAAAAGAUCAAAAUAGUUUUGUUUAAAGUUUUUCACGUGCAUCCACAGUGUAAGUCAUUGGUAUAUUAGGAAAGCAGAUAGAAUUGAUGUAUCAUUUUUAAGACUUUUGAGCUCAGCUAAGAGCAAGUAUGCUCCAAACAGGAAAAGAAAAAAAACUCUGGAGCCUGCCUGUAGAGAAUCCUGAUUCCAAUGUAAAAAAUAAAAUGUUGGUAACUGGAGAGCUUUAUAUCCAGCAGGGAGUGAGAGAGCAGGGGUAACCUUCUGAUGCCAACUGCUGACAUGCAGUCCUGUCAGCUGGCUCACAAAGCAAGUCACCUCAGUAAUACAUGUUAGUCCUGCUUCUAUCAUCUUUAUUUACUCUGUGGAUGUUAUAGAAAGGUCUUGAAAAAAAUCCACAAGCUGAAUAAGGCCUAUCCACUCACACAACACCUAAAGAAACCUCAGAAACAGGAAUUACUUGGGCAUUUUGACAACAGGUAAAACACCUGAUCCUUUGUUUCUUUUUCCAUGUUUAUAUCCUUUACCAAAUUCCCUCCACAUCUGCAUUGUUUGCAUAUGGCAUUGCAGCAAGACAUCAGUGCAUUUAUUAACUGAUAUGCUGUGAAAACUGGGCAAAUGAUGCUUUCAAUUCAAUAAUUUCACCAGAAGCUUCAAGCCACGUGGUCUGAAGUGGAUUUGGCAUUUCAUGUCACACAACUACUUUCCUACCACUUCUUUCACUACAGGUGCAGCUACCAGGUGACAGCAGUGUUUUUCCACUAACAUUUUAAAGCCAUUUUAAAAAAUCCAAUUUUUUUUUUGCUUCAUAACCUAUGAAAUAUGAUUUUUUUUGGCAAAUAAAAAAUGAUGCUUUGAGUGAUGUCUUUCAAAAUGAUGCCUGAACACACAGCUGUGUGUUCACAUAGAUUUUCUUUGUGGUGUGAGGUCCAGGUUUUACACAGGCAAGCAGUGCUGGUGGCUGACACUGCAGCAGGGAGACAAGGACAAGGCACAAUUUAAAAAUCAGCCCUUGGGUGUCUGUGCUCUUGCCCUGGAAAAAACUCUGGAUGGCUUCUGAGGAAGGGGGGACUGAUUUUGUAGCCUUUACUAAGGCAAAAUUUUUAGUUGUUCCAGGUCAUGAGUUUCCAAACUCGAGGUCGUUACCUCUCUCUCUUUUUCUAUGGCUGGAUCAGAGGGGAGUCACAAAACUCUUCUGUUGCAACACGAGGUCAGGAGAUGUCAAAGGUUGAGGCCCUGCUUCAGAAAAUGCAGGCCACAAACCAAUCCCCAGCCAUGCCACUGGAUUCUGGUGGAGAUCCUGAUCUUUUCACUGCUUUCAAUAAAAUUUCAAAAGUAAACAGAUUAGGCCAUUUGAUAAUCCUCUGCUGAUUCAGUGUGUUUGUAAGCUGGGUUUUUUUUAAAGGUUUGCUUAAAAAUGCAGAAAAGUCAUUCUAAAAAUGUAGUUUUAAAUUUAUUUUAAAUAGAAAGAGAGGUAGGACUUUCAAUUUUAUAAAUUAUAAAUGCAAUAAAUAAUUGGGCCUGAUAUUUCUGAACAUUAUUUUUUCAAUAAUUCAUGACAUUUUUUUUACCUCAAGAAAAAUUAAUUUUUAUUACAAACAUACCAUCUACUUUUUAUCUGCUGUCAAUUUCUUUUUUUCAUAACAAAUAGCAAGACAGACUGAUCCCAGGUAUUUAAUUAUUAAUGCCCUGGAUACACAGUGCACUUCAGGAGUCUCAGCUCUGAGGCCACCACCCCAAGCUGCACGCAAACCUGGGGGGAAAAACCAGAGUGAGGGAAAGAGAGGCAAUUUUUAUAACACAGAUGUUUAGGGCAUCUAUCACUGUGUCGUCUAAUCAUCAUCAAUUUAAAUAACACAUAGAAAAUAAACAUACUUUUAAAGUGUAAAAUACAUGCAUGAUAUCCACGGUAGGAGAAAAUUGUCUGUUUUACUGCACACCAGAGACAAACAGGAGCUGCUUCUGUAAGCUCAGGAAAGGGAAAAAAUGUGAAUAAAAAUGUUGUAUGAGGAAGGCCUAGAGAAGUGUAACUGUGUUCUUUAACACUGCUCAUUAAUCAUUCAAAGAGGGUAUUAAUUCUAGAGCUGGGUUAUUGGUGCUAGGAGGAAUGCCUGUUAAUUUUAUUUAUCAUCGAUAGAGAAUCAAACAGAACCCAUUUUAAAAAAUAAUCUAAAAAUAGCUGAUCAGCAAAGUGUGAUACUUAAAGCACAUCUUACUGAAAGUAACUGUGCAAAAUUACAUGUUUUAAUUUAAGAUCUUCAAAGUAACAGUUGGUAAGAAGCAACUGCUGUAUUUCAGCUUAUCUUUGCUGCUGUUUGGGUAUGUAGGUUUGUUUCUCUUUUCCCUUAAAGAUCGUCACAUUGAUCCACUUUCUGAUCUCUGAUUCUCUGCUCUUAUGUUCUCAGAAUCCUAGUGAAGAGACCAGGGGAGUAAAACCAAUACAGAUCUGACAACCUGUAAGACUGGACAGGUCUGGAAUGUAUUCACAAACUAAGUACUAUAAUUCAAAAAUGAAAAAUUUCUACAGUUAAGUUCAUAGCUUAAUUGGCUCAUGAAAAUUUAACCUUUCAUAAAUGCUGCCUUUGAACAGCAUUAUUUCAUGCAGAACAGUAGCUAAAAGGCAUAUUGGCAGCACAAUUCUGACCUAAGCUCCUCCAAAUCAGAUUUUGGUCUUAAACAAGUGAGGAAUUUGUUGCACUGAGGUUUGGAUAUGUCCUAUUUCACUUGUGUAGAGGUUGUAUUGCUAUAAAAUGUAAAAUGUCAGAAUUCUACAGAAAAAUCUUGGUAAUUCAUCCUGAUAUCCAUUUGCAUAAAUGUAUAGAUCCUGCAUACAGUCAUGUAGAACAACUUUACUUGAACAGUGUGUCACUGGGUAACUUCAGCUGAAUUUCCAGGCCUUUUUGAAAUAUUCAAAUUGGUUCAGUCUGAAUAGGUCAGCACUUAAAAUUAAUCUGACUGCAGUGACAAUGUGACCACAAUGUGAAUGUCUAGAUGUUUAAUGUGUAACUUAAGGAGGUGAUUAGCUGGCAUAAAAUGUCAAAACUAUGACAGACACGUUUACACCAACUGAGAGGAUGCUCCUGCGUGUAUUUUGUGUGCAUAUACUGCAUAUAGGAACCAUUGUAGAAAUUACACUGUGUGAGUGUCAUGUGUUUCUUUGAGUGUUAAACAUCUGUGCAGUAUAUUUGGAGCCAUAGAAAGUCCACUGUAUCUACUGUCAUUUUCAACACAUCCUAGAAUCCCAUGAGGAAAGUACAGCUAUGUAAUUAUUGAGUAAAAAUUAUACUUAAAUUCUUUAGGACAUCGAUACUAAGAUGUAAAUAAUAACAUGAACUUAAACAGCUCUACCAAGGUCAGGUUUACAGUGCCUUACUCAUAAAAAUAUAUAUCCUAUGGCUUUUACCAGUACAAAAAUUAGUAGUCUUUAAAUUGAUCCAUAGAUACAGACUGUACACAUGGAGACACACAAACAGACACACAUAAAGAAGCAGCUGGUUGAAGAGAUACGUUAAAACUGAAUACUCUGUGAGCAAAAAAAAAUGAGAAGGGGAUUGACAAUACAAAUGUUACCAGUGCUUAUAUGUUUUCAAGGUUUAAACUGCCUCUCUUUUCUAGGGACUUCCUUUUCUCCCAAUUCACCUGUACUGAGUGACCACUCUUUGAAAGAUAACUUUUUCUUCAUCUUUUGCUGGCUUUUUAAGAGAAAAACACCACCAACAGCUAGAAAGCUUUUAUGUUUAACUUUUGAAAUGAUAAUAUUUUCUAUCCACUUUUUAUCGCUAAAGACAACAUUAAAGUUAGAACACGAUUAUUUAUUUAAAGUGUAGCAGCCUUUUACUAAGUGCAGCAGUAGUUUACUACUAAGUUUAAUGUCCAGUGUAAGAGCCAUAAUGUGCAGUUUUCUUUUGCAGAACAAAGUGACCACCAAAAGCGGGACUUUGUGGGCCAGUUGGAUAAAACAUAAGCUCAUCUCGCCCCCAAAACCCCGACUCUGGAACCACAACCUUCCAAGAUUCAAUUUCAGUGCAGAAUACGAGAGGAAGAUUUGUCAGGAAGAAAACAAAAUCGACCGUGUGGACACAGCGGUGAGUGAAAUUUCAAAUGGCUAAGCUGAGCGGGGCUCUCGAAAAAACAGGAUUGGACCGCAGGAAAAAACGAAGACAAACGUUUCUGUCGCUGCAAACGCCGGGAGGGAGGGUGCGAGUGAGGCAGGAGGGGCACGACACUGCUCGUGUCCCUUUGUUGGAGCCGCAGCAGCCGGUGCAGCGGGGAGCGCGCCCGAGGGCGGACCGGCCGCUGCCGGGAGCGCUCCCGGCCCGAGCCCGCGGCUCCGCCUCCCCCUAAAAAUGAUGGGAAAGCUCCGGCCCGCGCGGACCCGCCAAGGCACGGACGGGGUUCGAACCCGUGAUCUUCGGUUUACGAGACCGACGCCUUACCACUUGGCCACCGCGCCUGCGUUAAGGGCUCCUCCCGACGCCCUUCUAUCGCUGGCGCCACUCCCGCGCGCCCGCCCCCGCCCCGCCCCCGGCGCCGGCACCUGAGGCGCUGAGGGGGCGGAACGUGUGGGAGGGACCGGGACCGGGAGCGGAGCGUGGGCGCGUCACGCUCUCGCUGUUUCUCCCUCUUUCUCUUUUUUUUUAUCCGUUUUUCUCCCUCUUUCUCCCUCUGUCCUUGUCGCUGUCCCCGGGAGCUGCGGGGCCGUUCCUGAGGGUACCGCCCUCUGCCCGUCCCGCUCGCCCUCAGCGGCCCCGGGGCCGUGAGGGCGCCGUGCCCGGAGAUGGCACCCGGGCGGUGCAGCCGCUUCGGACCGGUCAGGACACCGGAGAGAGGGGACAAAGCGGGACUGAAACUUUCCUCCCCCGAGAAGAGAAGCAGAAAUGCGAAACGUUGGGAUAAUUAAAUGCAGUUGUCUCGGAGGGGCUCAGGAAUGAUGCAGUGCUCUGGUGGAGUGGCCUCACAGUCCUUCAUCUGCAGGGAAGGCUGGAGACGCUUCUUCAGGCCCAAAGUCUUCAAGCAAAAUGACCUGCUCCAACAUCAGUGAUGUCCACAGUGGAGCUGAUUAUGUCAGACACAGUAAGUAAACCAGAAUUAGUAAUUUUUUCAAUUAAUUCUGUGGAACACAGUGAAUGCUGGCAAUAUUAGACCAGGUACAGGAAUGUUAGUAAUGCUGUGGUUCAUAUACCAACAUAGAACAGGCAAGUAAUUGAUUCAGAAAUAAUGCAUUUGUGGUGGUAUUUCUGAUUUCUAAGAUGCUUUUUCCUCAGACUGUCUCUGUUACUAAGCUUUCUCACAGACCCAAUUUUGUAGGUGUAGCUGGCUCAGCUGUAGCUGCCUAAGCUUUGCUAGGAUGGUGCUUUCACUGUUAGUAAACACAAGUGGGAAAGAAUGUUAUUACUGAACACGCUGUAAUGACCAGUAUUUCCAAAUGUAGAUGAUGGGAAGCCCUGCUAUGACAUUUAUUGUACUGUAUCUAGGAUUUGUGGCUUCAAUUAUGACCAGACAUUUGGCUUAAGCUUUGCAGCCAAACUGACCCAUACCUAAAGAAUGUAUGUGCACACAACCCACUCAGGUGUGAGCCUUUAGCAUUUCUUAGCAAAAGCAGGGAACCAAUCCUGCCUGUCUCCUGACACUCCCUGCCUGCACAGCAUCUGGAACCUACACUGGGCAUCACAGAGCAAAUCAGGGAGGAUUCUGAAGCUGUCCCAUCUGUAUCUGGACAAGUCACAAGAACUGUGGGAAAACUGAAAAAAAAAAAAGGAGAGAUAGAGAAGACACAGAACGUGCAGUUAUUCACUUUCUAAAUAAAUACCAUGAACUUAUAGAUUACAUAAUAAAGGACAGCCUGUAGCAUGACUAAUAGGGAAGCACUGCAGGGGGAAUACGAAAGAAGAGAUGACUCAUAGUUAGAAAGAUGGUAUAAGAUGAUAAUAAUUGAAGAGUUUGACUUGACCAGAGCAAGGAGGUUAAACAGAAAUAAAACUGGAUGAAAACCAGAUGUUUGCUUUUGCAAUCAACUCAAAAUUAAGAAGGUUAAAAAAAGGUUUAGUGUCUAAAUUUAAAAAAAAAAAACAUAAAUCCUGAGCAAUCAGAUGUAUUAUUAAAGAAAAU